rnacentral:rRNA from 1 species
UACGUAGGGGGCAAGCGUUGUCCGGAAUCAUUGGGCGUAAAGAGCGUGUAGGCGGCCAGAUAAGUCCGCUGUGAAAUCUCGAGGCUCAACCUCGAGCUGUCGGUGGAAACUGUCGGGCUAGAGUCCGGAAGAGGAGAAUGGAAUUCCUGGUGUAGCGGUGAAAUGCGCAGAUAUCAGGAGGAACACCGAUGGCGAAGGCAGCGCACUGGGACGGUACUGACGCUGAGACGCGAAAGCGUGGGGAGCAAACAGG